UUCGCAAUGCCCGAAAGGGUGACAAUGCGACGCCGCGUGAGCGAUGAAGGCCUUCGGGUUGUAAAGCUCUGUCAGCUGGGAUGAAUGUUUAUGGGCUAAUAACCCAUAAAUUUGACAGUACCAGCAAAGGAAGCCACGGCUAACUCCGUGCCAGCAGCCGCGGUAAUACGGAGGUGGCAAGCGUUAUUCGGAUUUACUGGGUGUAAAGGACAUGUAGGUGUCUUUCUAAGUCGGAUGUGAAAUCCCUUGGCUUAACCAAGGAACUGCACCCGAUACUGAAAAGAUUGAGUACGAGAGAGGUAAGCGGAAUUCCAGAAGUAAGGGUGAAAUCUGUAGAUAUCUGGAGGAACACCAUUAGCGAAGGCGGCUUACUGGCUCGAUACUGACACUGAAAUGUGAAAGCUAGGGUAGCGAACAGGAUUAGAUACCCUGGUAGUCCUAGCUGUAAACGAUGGGCACUAAGUAGAGGGGUUUUA
rnacentral:rRNA from 1 species